AGAGUUUGAUCAUGGCUCAGAACGAACGCUGGCGGCGUGGAUAAGACAUGCAAGUCGGACGAGAUUUUUCGCUGUAGCAAUACAGUGGAACGUCUAGUGGCGAACGGGUGCGUAACACGUGGGCAAUCUGCCUUAAAGUGGGGGAUAGCUCGGCGAAAGCCGGAUUAAUACCGCAUGUGAUCAAGGAAGACAUCUUUCUGAAAUCAAAGCCGGGGCAACCUGGCGCUUUUUGUGGAGCCCGCGGCCUAUCAGCUUGUUGGUGAGGUAACGGCUCACCAAGGCUUUGACGGGUAGCUGGUCUGAGAGGACGACCAGCCACACUGGGACUGAGACACGGCCCAGACACCUACGGGUGGCAGCAGUCGAGAAUUUUUCUCAAUGGGGGAAACCCUGAAGGAGCGACGCCGCGUGGAGGAUGAAGGUCUUCGGAUUGUAAACUCCUGUCAUUUGAGAACAAGGUGCAUACGUUUACUGCGUGUGCAUUGAUAGUAUCAGAAGAGGAAGAGACGGCUAACUCUGUGCCAGCAGCCGCGGUAAUACAGAGGUCUCAAGCGUUGUUCGGAUUCAUUGGGCGUAAAGGGUGUGUAGGUGGCGCGCUAAGUCGGGUGUGAAAUUUCGGAGCUUAACUCCGAAACUGCAUUCGAUACUGGCGUGCUUGAGGACUGGAGAGGAGACUGGAAUUUACGGUGUAGCAGUGAAAUGCGUAGAUAUCGUAAGGAAGACCAGUGGCGAAAGCGGGUCUCUGGACAGUUCCUGACACUGAGACACGAAAGCCAGGGGAGCAAACGGGAUUAGAUACCCCGGUAGUCCUGGCAGUAAACGGUGCACGUUUGGUGUGGGAGGAUUCGACCCCUUCUGCGCCGGAGUUAACACGUUAAACGUGCCGCCUGGGGAGUACGGUCGCAAGAUUAAAACUCAAAGAAAUUGACGGGGGCCCGCACAAGCGUG
rnacentral:rRNA from 1 species